CAUCACAUCCGCACACUGCACACGUUACAGCUGACUGCAGUUCGUGACAUGUUCGUUUAAAGUAGGAAAUAUUGGGCUUUCUCGUCUUGAAUGAACCAACAAUGCUGUGCUUUUGGUUGUACCUUCGAAGGCAAGAAGAGAGGGACGCAGCAAGAAGAAUAAUACUGCUGAUGAACAUCUGCAGAGCAUACUGGCAGAUUACAAAAGCAACUGCUUUGUGUAAAACGGCAUCAGUCCGGCACGGACCACAGCUCCACUGCCAGUGCUGCCAACACUGCCGACCGUGCCACAUAUCUCACAGUUGCAGCAGCCAGCUGCUCCACUUCCAGCAUCAUCAUCACUACGUCUGGGUCCAGAAGCAGCUUCCCGGCAUCCCCCACAUCCUCCAGCAACGACAGACCGACACCUACAAGCUGUGCCACAGUUGUUACCGCACUGGCUCCGUCUGCAUUGGCCUGAACCCACCUGCUAAAGAAUCACUUUACUCCAGACCAGUUUGAGCCGACAGAAUUGGUGGAGUGGUAAAACGUAAACCAAAUGCUGUGCCAACCAUUUUUGGUGAUCGUAAGGCUCUUGCCGAGAGGAAACCUGUUGGCCUACUAGAGAAACGAACUGAGGAUACAGAGGUUGGAGAGCCUUCGAAUGUGACCAAUGACGUCAGUCCUGCAGCGAACUUGGACACGACAGAAGAUGAAGUCACCACCCUGAAGAACCUACCUUCAGGCUGGAAUUGAAGCUUUCAAGAGAAAACUCACCCCCUCUCAGAAAAGGGAGAGAAGAGUAUGUUUAGAAAAAGACAGCCUCUUUGCGAGUCUGCACGGUUUAUUCGGUGCAGAUCAGUUUGUAGUAUGAGUGAAGGGGACACGUGAAGGUAGCAAAUGGUCAGUGGAAAGGGCGAAAAAAUCGACCACCUUGUAGUAGUAAGGGGUACAAAGUCCUGCUGGAAAAUAAAUUACCAUUUCCUUCAGAUAGAACCCCAAUAUGUUCGCUACAGAGCAUAAAAGUUAGACCUGGUGUGCCGAGGGAGCUCGUGAAUUUCCUGAAAGUCAAGCUUGCCCUCAUGUUACCAGUGGAGAUGCAUGCUGUUCUCAUGAUGGAUGAGGUUAGUAUCACUCACCAUUGGAAUGUGGUUGAGCAUUGGCUGCACCAUUGAUAAUGAUACAACACCUCCACCAGAUCUCGCCCUUGCAAAAACUAUAGCUUCUAAUGCAUCAGUUGUUAUGCUGGGUGGUAUUACCUCAAGAUGGAAACAAACAAUAGGUUACCAUUACACAGGGCCAUCUUUUUCCAGUUCUCACGCCAGACACUACUAUAAGCUUCAUUAGGGAAUCUUAGGCACUCGUACAAUUUUCACUGCAUCGCGUCAGUGACAGGAGGGCAAAAUUGAGCUCUAUGGCAAGAAUUUGCAAUUGUUGUCGAAAGGUUUUCAAAAUUAGUUUCUGCCAGUGUCUUUCUGAUCAUAAUAGGAAACUAAUUUUCCUCACAGAUACAUCACACAUUUUGAAAAAUGAGGAUUCACUUAAUCAAUGGGCAAUCGGUCUUCCUCUGACGAAAUGUUGUCGAGGGACGUGAUCCGCCUUGUAAUGAGGUACAUAUAAAUCGUGUAUAGCAGUGGCUUGAGGUAGACAGUGGUUUAAGUCUUAAACUGGCACCAAAACUGUGUGAGGGAAGUCUGAGGCCAAACCAUUACGAGAAAAUGAAAGUCGGCUCGGCUACUGCCAUAAUUAACAGCCAGACUGCAGCAGCCAGUGAGUAUGCUGUCAAGACAGAGAAACUGCAGAAAAAUACUUUAACCACAGCACGGUUGCUAAAGCACGUUCAUGGGUGGUCUUGCCUCAUGACAUCCAGAGCUCCAGUUAUGGCUCUUAGUCGUUCUGAUGAACAAACAUACAGUGAGGCUCUCUGUCAUCUUCAGGACACUCUGUGAUUAUUUGAAAACUUGAAAAUUGGCCUGAACAGUGCCUGGAAACCAGUUCAGUGUGGUGUAGUUUUGACAGUUGGAGGUAUUUUGGAAUUGCAGAACACAUUCCUGAAUGAGAAGAAAUUUAAAUUUUUGCUAAUAAGUAGAUUUACACAAGAUACCUUGGAAAAUCUGUUAGCAAUGCUCCACUUCAAAAAUCCAGUACCAACACUACGAGAGGUAAAAUCGUCACUGAGGGUUAUUACUCUCUCAGUUUUUUAAUACUGUCACUGAUAAUAAUGAAAUGAAGGCAGUAGUUUGCAGGCAGAACUACUGGGGGAAUCUGUAAGUGAAGAUGGGGAUGUGUGUGCUGAGGAAGUUGGUGAGCCACUUUGUAACACUGUGUGUGAUGAAGAGCAGCAGUCUCAAUACUAUUUGUGUGGUCACACUGUGCAAAGAAAAUCUCUGUACCUGUCUGAACGUGCUUUUACAUCUGAAGUCCUUCACAGAUACCUCACUUAUUGAGCCAUCAAGGGAGGUUUUCAGUGUGUUGCAAAAGGCAGAGAUGUGUUUGAGAAGCAACAAGAAGAAAUUACUCUCAGGUGAAUUGUUGCUCUCUGAUGUAGCCACUGCCGUGCCUGCAUCAGUGAAGGAGAAAGUAGUUUUCCCAGCCUGCCACAGUGCUCAGGAGAAAAUAAUUCACAGUUUCCUGGCAACAAGAAUUCAUCUGGUUCCAAGGGAGGGAAAUAAAAUAUAUCAGGGUGUAGUGACACAAGGCAGUAGAAGCAGGCCAUGAGAAAGUUACUGCAGAAACUGUGAUUUCCAAAAUCACUCUUUAGUAAAUGAUUUGAAAAAUUGACAUUCAAACUUCAUUUGGUUGCCAUUUUCUCUUCAAGUGGUCUCAUUAUUGUUUCAAUCACAGUGAUUUUUAUAAAUUUUUGUUCUAUGUUUCUUUCUGAGUAUGGAGUAUUUU